rnacentral:tRNA from 1 species
GGAGAUGUAGCUCAGUGGUAGAGCACAUGCCCAGCAUAUGCAAGGUCCUGGGUUCGAUCCCCAGCACCACCA